rnacentral:lncRNA from 1 species
GCAGAGAAUACUUUGCCGCAGACUGCGCAACUGCGCCCUGCACUUUCUCCUUUAUUCCUUUUGGUGUUCACAACAGAAUGCGAUCCGCUUUCCCCGCCACGCCCGCCCACGCUGCGUCGUGCCCGCCUUUGGCGCGGGAACGUUUCAUGCGUGGCGUGGCGAGAAUGCCGCUGGGCCGCACCGUGAACGCAGCACGGCUCUGGCCUUACACCAAGCGUUCGUGACUCAUGCAACUACCUGGACUUAGAAUAAAAACAUGACUAUGCAGCUAUGCCUAAUUGCAGUAUGAAACAUGGCAUGCACGUGAUUAGAAACAACAUUUCACCCCCUUAAUCACGCUGCACUUCAAUCACACCAAGUUGCUGUCGUAGCUCCACGAACCUGACACGCCCAAGUGCCUUUGUUAAGAUGUCUGCCAGCUGAUCUGCUGUGCUCACAUGAUCAAUGUCGACAUCCCCUCUUUCAACACAAUCACGAAUGAAAUGGUAUCUUGUGUCUAUAUGUUUGCUUCUAUCAUGGUGAACUGGAUUCUUACUCAAUGCAAUUGCUGAUUUGUUAUCCACCAGAAGUUUCACCUGCGGCGUUGGAAUGCCUAGCAGCCCACCCAGAAGUCUGCUGAGCCAAAUGCCUUGACAAGCAGCGUUGGCACUUGCAAUAUACUCAGCCUCACAUGACGAUAGAGCUACCACCCUUUGCUUCUGAGAUCCCCAAGUCACCAAACUUGUUCCUAACAGAAACACUGAACCACUUGUGCUCUUUCGGUCAUCAACAUCCCCAGCUAAAUCACUGUCACUAUAGCCAGUCAGACUUGUUUCAGAUGUGUUCAGCUUCCUGUAGAUGCAGCCAUAGUUCACAGUACCUGACAGAUACCUGAGAAUCUGUUUCACAGCUGCCCAGUGACUUGCCUUCGGAUCCUCCAUGUACCUGCUAACUAUCCCAACUGAGUAGGCAAUGUCUGGUCUAGUGUUGACCAGAUAUCUCAGACUUCCAAUUACACUUCUAUACUUUGUCUUGUCGACUGAAGGUGUCUUGUCAUUUUUGCUCAGCUUCAACCGAUUUUCCAUGGGCACAUGACAGGGAUUACACCCUUUCAUACCUGUCUGCUCUAGGAUUUUCAGUGUAUACGAACUCUGACAUAGUGAGAUCACCCCCUCCUUUUGUGUUACUUGGAUGCCUAGAUAGUAAGUCAGCAGCCCCAGGUCACUCAUACUAAAACUCUUCAUCAUCUCCUUCUUGAAUGCCUCAAUGUUUGCACUGCUUGGUCCUGUUAUGAUCAGAUCAUCAACAUAAACACCCACCAAGAGAAAACCAUCAGUAUGCUUCCUCCUGUAAACAGCAUGUUCAAGAGGAUUUUUCUCAAAACCAAGCUUGAUCAACUCACUGUCUAAUUUAGCAUUCCAAGCCCUAGGAGCCUGACGCAAGCCAUACAAUGCUUUAUUCAGUCUGAGCACCUUGCCACUGCCUCCCUCGACAACAAAUCCAGGAGGUUGCUGUACAUAUACCUCCUCCAUCAGUUCACCAUUCAAGAAUGCCGACUUCACAUCCAUGUGAUGUACAUUCCAUCCUCUCUGAGCAGCAAGAGCAAUUAAUAAUCUCACUGUUUCUAUCCUUGCCACAGGGGCAAACACUUCUUCAAAAUCCACCCUUCUCUCUGUGCAUACCCUUUCGCAACCAACCUUGCUUUGUGCUUAAUAAUGUUACCAUCUGGAUCUUUCUUCACCUUGAAAACCCAUUUAAGCCCUAUAGCUUUGUGGCCUGCAGGUAGCACUGACAGCACCCAAGUCUUGUUUGACUGAAUGGAGUUCAUUUCAGUCAUCAUGGCUUCCCUCCAGCACUGUUCUGACAGGGCUACCUCCACACUUCUUGGCUCCUCUGCUGCAUGGAAACACACACCACUAUACUCGAAAUCAUGAAUUUCUUCAGUUGUAUCAUAUAAAUCAGAUAGAUUUCUGUAACCUGUUGGAACCCCUUCAGUGUUACUAGACCAUUCUAACUGUGGUGUUUCUGAAAAUUCUCCAUGUGCAGGACUCCCUACAGGCGUGUGUGGAGUUGAUCCUCCAUGUGAACUAGUGCCAGCACUCCACUCACCUUGAGCUGGUGAAUUCUGAACUGAAUCACCAGAAAAUUCUGCGUCCUCUCCUUCAGUUACUGCUGCUUCAGUUACAGUUCUCUGUCUGGCAGCAGAAUAGAACUCCACAUCGAACACUGAACUGACUGGUUCAUUACCAGCCUCUUGCUUCCAGUCCCAAGCCUGUCCUUCCUCAAAGAUUACAUCUCGGGAUAUGUGAAGUUUCUUAGCUACAGGAUCAUAGACUCUAUAACCCUUUGUGCCACUUUCAUAACCAAUAAACACCAUUUUGGUGGACCUGUCAGAGAGCUUAGAAAUCCCUGGCCCAACUUUCUUCACAUAAACAACACAACCAAAUGUGCGUAAGUGAUGUACCUUGGGCUUCUUAUUGUACCAGGCUUCAUAUGGUGUACGGUCUUGCAAGCUCUUUGUUGGAGAACGGUUCAACAGAUAAACUGCAGUUGACACCGCUUCUCCCCAAAAUUCAGCUGGCAUGCCCUUGCUCUUCAGCAAACAUCUUGCCAUCUCUGCCACCGUACGGUUCCGGCGCUCGACGACGCCAUUCUGUUGGGGUGUGUACGGUGCUGUAGUGAAAUGCUUGAUGCCGUGUUCGUCGCAGUACUCCUUGAACUCGAUGGAAUUAAAUUCCCCGCCACGAUCGCUACGGAACGCGCGAAGCUUCAAAGCACGCUCAGUUUCAGCUAAUGCCUUCACCCGCUUGAAACACUUGAACGCCUCAUCCUUUGUUGUCAGGAGUUCAACCCACAUGAAACGACUGAAAUCGUCAACAAUUAACAGGAAAUAGCCCUUACCACCUGGUGUCUUUGGUCUGAUCUGGCCACAGAGAUCUGCGUGAACCAGGUCAAGUCCUUUCUUGGCUCGAUAAUUCGCCACCUGAGGGAAUGAGUGUCGCUGAUGCUUGCCCAAUGCACAGCCAUCACACACUUCUUCUGCACGAUUUAACAGUGGUAUCCCAUCCACCAUUCCCUUUUGUCCGAGCUCUCUGAGUGCUCUGAAAUUGAGAUGGCCAUACCGGCCAUGCCAGAGCCAGGCUUGAUCAUCUGCCUUCGCCUUCAGACAGACUGGAGCAGUCAGGUGCGUCUUCAGCAGAUAGAGACGAUUUGACACUCGCGGUGCGCGCGCCAAGAGCAAGCGCUCAACGUCGUACACAUUGCAGUAUCCGUUCUCCAAUAUUACCUUGCAUCCUCCCUCUUCCAAUUGACCUAGGCUCACAAUAUUACUUUUUAGCUUGGGAAUGUAAUAUACCUCUGUUAGCACCUUGUGACCCUCCUUCGUCUGGAGCACCACCGAUCCGAUGCCCUCGAUCUCUACGAGCGAGCCGUCGCCAAAACGCACUGUGCCACGCACAAACUUGUCUAGCGAUGCGAGUGCCUCGUGCCUCCCUGUCAUGUGGUUGCUAGCCCCCGUAUCGAGGACCCAAACAUUCUUGUCUUCAUCAUUGUGCGCCGGGAACACCUUCUUCUCGUUGAGGUGCACAACUUGCUGUGUCGUGCGCACACCUGAUGGCUUGAGGUCGAACGGCGCCCUGUGAACACGCACCGUGGCCACCGUCGCCAGAAGCAGGAAGGGAUUUCCUGCUCUGUCUGCGCGACAAUUGCCUCCUCCUUGCGUUCCUUCUUGGGUGGCCGCUUGCAGUCUACACGCCAGUGGCCGUAGAUGCCACAGUUCCUGCAACGGCCUUUCCGCCGCGGAGUACCCUCCGUCGUCAGCUUCACGGGGCUGCCCUUCUUGUCACCACGGCCGCCGGUCUUUGACUUGCCGGGAUUGUACCCCGACUUCUUCUCCCCACCGCUCGACGACGACGAAUCUGGCAGGAGACGAUGUCGAUUUCUUGACACCCAGUCCUCCUCCGUCAACAAUAGUCGCCGCGUCUUGUCAGUGACAGUUUCGGCCUCGAUCCGGUCCUCAGCCAUCCUGAGACGGCCGACCAGCUCCUCGACCGUCAGGGUCUUCAGAUCGAGUAGGGUUUCGAUCGAGAUCGCGAUCUGGGCGUAGCGUUGGGGUAGCACACGCAACAUCUUCUUCACGACCCGAGUGUCUUCAAUCUCCUCCCCGGACGUGCGUAGAUCCGCCGCCAGUGCAUUGAUGCGCAUCGCGAAAUCGUCCACCGAUUCGCCGUCACUGAAAGCGAUGUUCUCAAACUCCUUCAAUAGGCGUUGUGCAUUCGCCUCCUUCACGCGCUCUGCUCCCACACGCAUGCUCUUCACCGCCGACCAUGCUUCCUUCACUGUCCUCUUGGACCCAAGCAUUUGCCACAUCUCCUUCGGUACAGACCGCAGCAGACAGCCCAUGGCCAAUCUGUCCUGCGAUCUCCUGACGCCGUCACCUCCAGGCUCGAUCACCUCCCACACCUCCAUAGCUUCAUAGUUACACUGCAUGAGCAUCGCCCACUCCGAGUAAUUUGAGCGGGUGAGCAUCGGCCACAUCAGUGAACUCUCGCGAACACCGCUCGCCGACGAACUGCGCUCAUUUCCGCUGCCGGAUGUCUCCACUCUUCGGGGCUCACGCAGUGGACUCACGGAACCACUACAGAGGAUACGACGAGGCUUUGAUACCAGUUGUUGGCGCCGGCCACCGGAGUUUGGAGCUGGACGGCGAUCAGCGGCGGCUCUGUUUUUUCACCUGAUGAAAAAACCACUCAACAGAACAGAGGCUGGUGAGUACGCAGAGAAUACUUUGCCGCAGACUGCGCAACUGCGCCCUGCACUUUCUCCUUUAUUCCUUUUGGUGUUCACAACAGAAUGCGAUCCGCUUUCCCCGCCACGCCCGCCCACGCUGCGUCGUGCCCGCCUUUGGCGCGGGAACGUUUCAUGCGUGGCGUGGCGAGAAUGCCGCUGGGCCGCACCGUGAACGCAGCACGGCUCUGGCCUUACACCAAGCGUUCGUGACUCAUGCAACUACCUGGACUUAGAAUAAAAACAUGACUAUGCAGCUAUGCCUAAUUGCAGUAUGAAACAUGGCAUGCUCGUGAUUAGAAACAACAUUUCACCCCCUUAAUCACGCUGCACUUCAAUCACACCAAGUUGCUGUCGCAGCUCCACGAACCUGACACGCCCAAGUGCCUUUGUUAAGAUGUCUGCCAGCUGAUCUGCUGUGCUCACAUGAUCAAUGUCGACAUCCCCUCUUUCAACACAAUCACGAAUGAAAUGGUAUCUUGUGUCUAUAUGUUUGCUUCUAUCAUGGUGAACUGGAUUCUUACUCAAUGCAAUUGCUGAUUUGUUAUCCACCAGAAGUUUCACCUGCGGCGUUGGAAUGCCUAGCAGCCCACCCAGAAGUCUGCUGAGCCAAAUGCCUUGACAAGCAGCAUUGGCACUUGCAAUAUACUCAGCCUCACAUGACGAUAGAGCUACCACCCUUUGCUUCUGAGAUCCCCAAGUCACCAAACUUGUUCCUAACAGAAACACUGAACCACUUGUGCUCUUUCGGUCAUCAACAUCCCCAGCUAAAUCACUGUCACUAUAGCCAGUCAGACUUGUUUCAGAUGUGUUCAGCUUCCUGUAGAUGCAGCCAUAGUUCACAGUACCUGACAGAUACCUGAGAAUCUGUUUCACAGCUGCCCAGUGACUUGCCUUCGGAUCCUCCAUGUACCUGCUAACUAUCCCAACUGAGUAGGCAAUGUUUGGUCUAGUGUUGACCAGAUAUCUCAGACUUUCAAUUACACUUCUAUACUUUGUCUUGUCGACUGAAGGUGUCUUGUCAUUUUUGCUCAGCUUCAACCGAUUUUCCAUGGGCACAUGACAGGGAUUACACCCUUUCAUACCUGUCUGCUCUAGGAUUUUCAGUGUAUACGAACUCUAACAUAGUGAGAUCACCCCCUCCUUUUGUGUUACUUGGAUGCCUAGAUAGUAAGUCAGCAGCCCCAGGUCACUCAUACUAAAACUCUUCAUCAUCUCCUUCUUGAAUGCCUCAAUGUUUGCACUGCUUGGUCCUGUUAUGAUCAGAUCAUCAACAUAAACACCCACCAAGAGAAAACCAUCAGUAUGCUUCCUCCUGUAACCAGCAUGUUCAAGAGGAUUUUUCUCAAAACCAAGCUUGAUCAACUCACUGUCUAAUUUAGCAUUCCAAGCCCUAGGAGCCUGACGCAAGCCAUACAAUGCUUUAUUCAGUCUGAGCACCUUGCCACUGCCUCCCUCGACAACAAAUCCAGGAGGUUGCUGUACAUAUACCUCCUCCAUCAGUUCACCAUUCAAGAAUGCCGACUUCACAUCCAUGUGAUGUACAUUCCAUCCUCUCUGAGCAGCAAGAGCAAUUAAUAAUCUCACUGUUUCUAUCCUUGCCACAGGGGCAAACACUUCUUCAAAAUCCACCCCUUCUCUCUGUGCAUACCCUUUCGCAACCAACCUUGCUUUGUGCUUAAUAAUGUUACCAUCUGGAUCUUUCUUCACCUUGAAAACCCAUUUAAGCCCUAUAGCUUUGUGGCCUGUAGGUAGCACUGACAACACCCAAGUCUUGUUUGACUGAAUGGAGUUCAUUUCAGUCAUCAUGGCUUCCCUCCAGCACUGUUCUGACAGGGCUACCUCCACACUUCUUGGCUCCUCUGCUGCAUGGAAACACACACCACUAUACUCGAAAUCAUGAAUUUCUUCAGUUGUAUCAUAUAAAUCAGAUAGAUUUCUGUAACCUGUUGGAACCCCUUCAGUGUUACUAGACCAUUCUAACUGUGGUGUUUCUGAAAAUUCUCCAUGUGCAGGACUCCCUACAGGCGUGUGUGGAGUUGAUCCUCCAUGUGAACUAGUGCCAGCACUCCACUCACCUUGAGCUGGUGAAUUCUGAACUGAAUCACCAGAAAAUUCUGCGUCCUCUCCUUCAGUUACUGCUGCUUCAGUUACAGUUCUCUGUCUGGCAGCAGAAUAGAACUCCACAUCGAACACUGAACUGACUGGUUCAUUACCAGCCUCUUGCUUCCAGUCCCAAGCCUGUCCUUCCUCAAAGAUUACAUCUCGGGAUAUGUGAAGUUUCUUAGCUACAGGAUCAUAGACUCUAUAACCCUUUGUGCCACUUUCAUAACCAAUAAACACCAUUUUGGUGGACCUGUCAGAGAGCUUAGAAAUCCCUGGCCCAACUUUCUUCACAUAAACAACACAACCAAAUGUGCGUAAGUGAUGUACCUUGGGCUUCUUAUUGUACCAGGCUUCAUAUGGUGUACGGUCUUGCAAGCUCUUUGUUGGAGAACGGUUCAACAGAUAAACUGCAGUUGACACCGCUUCUCCCCAAAAUUCAGCUGGCAUGCCCUUGCUCUUCAGCAAACAUCUUGCCAUCUCUGCCACCGUACGGUUCCGGCGCUCGACGACGCCAUUCUGUUGGGGUGUGUACGGUGCUGUAGUGAAAUGCUUGAUGCCGUGUUCGUCGCAGUACUCCUUGAACUCGAUGGAAUUAAAUUCCCCGCCACGAUCGCUACGGAACGCGCGAAGCUUCAAAGCACGCUCAGUUUUAGCUAAUGCCUUCACCCGCUUGAAACACUUGAACGCCUCAUCCUUUGUUGUCAGGAGUUCAACCCACAUGAAACGACUGAAAUCGUCAACAAUUAACAGGAAAUAGCUCUUACCACCUGGUGUCUUUGGUCUGAUCUGGCCACAGAGAUCUGCGUGAACCAGGUCAAGUCCUUUCUUGGCUCGAUAAUUCGCCACCUGAGGGAAUGAGUGUCGCUGAUGCUUGCCCAAUGCACAGCCAUCACACACUUCUUCUGCACGAUUUAACAGUGGUAUCCCAUCCACCAUUCCCUUUUGUCCGAGCUCUCUGAGUGCUCUGAAAUUGAGAUGGCCAUACCGGCCAUGCCAGAGCCAGGCUUGAUCAUCUGCCUUCGCCUUCAGACAGACUGGAGCAGUCAGGUGCGUCUUCAGCAGAUAGAGACGAUUUGACACUCGCGGUGCGCGCGCCAAGAGCAAGCGCUCAACGUCGUACACAUUGCAGUAUCCGUUCUCCAGUAUUACCUUGCAUCCUCCCUCUUCCAAUUGACCUAGGCUCACAAUAUUACUUUUUAGCUUGGGAAUGUAAUAUACCUCUGUUAGCACCUUGUGACCCUCCUUCUUCGUCUGGAGCACCACCGAUCCGAUGCCCUCGAUCUCUACGAGCGAGCCGUCGCCAAAACGCACUGUGCCGCGCACAGACUUGUCUAGCGAUGCGAGUGCCUCGUGCCUCCCUGUCAUGUGGUUGCUAGCCCCCGUAUCGAGGACCCAAACAUUCUUGUCUUCAUCACUGUGCGUCGGGAACACCUUCUUCUCGUUGAGGUGCACAACUUGCUGUGUCGUGCGCACACCUGAUGGCUUGAGGUCGAACGGCGCCCUGUGAACACGCACCGUGGCCACCGUCGCCAGAAGCAGGGAGGGAUUCUCCUGCUCUAUCUGCGCGACAUUUGCCUCCUCCUUGCGUUCCUUCUUCGGUGGCCGCUUGCAGUCUACACGCCAGUGGCCGUAGAUGCCACAGUUCCUGCAACGGCCUUUCCGCCGCGGAGUACCCUCCGUCGUCAGCUUCACGGGGCUGCCCUUCUUGUCACCACGGCCGCCGGUCUUCGACUUGCCGGGAUUGUACCCCGACUUCUUCUCCCCACCGCUCGACGACGACGAAUCUGGCAGGAGACGAUGUCGAUUUCUUGACACCUAGUCCUCCUCCGUCAACAAUAGUCGCCCCGUCUUGUCAGUGACAGUUUCGGCCUCGAUCCGGUCCUCAGCCAUCCUGAGACGGCCGACCAGCUCCUCGACCGUCAGGGUCUUCAGAUCGAGUAGGGUUUCGAUCGAGAUCGCGAUCUGGGCGUAGCGUUGGGGUAGCACGCGCAGCAUCUUCUUCACGACCCGAGUGUCUUCAAUCUCCUCCCCGGACGUGCGUAGAUCCGCCGCCAGUGCAUUGAUGCGCAUCGCGAAAUCGUCCACCGAUUCGCCGUCACUGAAAGCGAUGUUCUCAAACUCCUUCAAUAGGCGUUGUGCAUUCGCCUCCUUCACGCGCUCUGCUCCCACACGCAUGCUCUUCACCGCCGACCAUGCUUCCUUCACUGUCCUCUUGGACCCAAGCAUUUGCCACAUCUCCUUUGGUACAGACCGCAGCAGACAGCCCAUGGCCAAUCUGUCCUGCGAUCUCCUGACGCCGUCACCUCCAGGCUCGAUCACCUCCCACACCUCCAUAGCUUCAUAGUUACACUGCAUGAGCAUCGCCCACUCCGAGUAAUUUGAGCGGGUGAGCAUCGGCCACAUCAGUGAACUCUCGCGAACACCGCUCGCCGACGAACUGCGCUCAUUUCCGCUGCCGGAUGUCUCCACUCUUCGGGGCUCACGCAGUGGACUCACAGAACCACUACAGAGGAUACGACGAGGCUUUGAUACCAGUUGUUGGCGCCGGCCACCGGAGUUUGGAGCUGGACGGCGAUCAGCGGCGGCUCUGUUUUUUCACCUGAUGAAAAAACCACUCAACAGAACAGAGGCUGGUGAGUACGCAGAGAAUACUUUGCCGCAGACUGCGCAACUGCGCCCUGCACUUUCUCCUUUAUUCCUUUUGGUGUUCACAACAGAAUGCGAUCCGCUUUCCCCGCCACGCCCGCCCACGCUGCGUCGUGCCCGCCUUUGGCGCGGGAACGUUUCAUGCGUGGCGUGGCGAGAAUGCCGCUGGGCCGCACCGUGAACGCAGCACGGCUCUGGCCUUACACCAAGCGUUCGUGACUCAUGCAACUACCUGGACUUAGAAUAAAAACAUGACUAUGCAGCUAUGCCUAAUUGCAGUAUGAAACAUGGCAUGCUCGUGAUUAGAAACAACACC